rnacentral:sRNA from 1 species
AUUGAUUACAUAAAACUGUGAAAUAACUUUUAUCACUAAAAAGGCAUUAAAAAAAAUUGAGACAGGGUCUCAAUAUGUU